rnacentral:rRNA from 1 species
AGUGAACGCUGGCGGUAGGCCUAACACAUGCAAGUCGAACGGCAGCACAGUAAGAGCUUGCUCUUACGGGUGGCGAGUGGCGGACGGGUGAGGAAUACAUCGGAAUCUACUUUUUCGUGGGGGAUAACGUAGGGAAACUUACGCUAAUACCGCAUACGACCUACGGGUGAAAGCAGGGGAUCUUCGGACCUUGCGCGAUUGAAUGAGCCGAUGUCGGAUUAGCUAGUUGGCGGGGUAAAGGCCCACCAAGGCGAUGAUCCGUAGCUGGUCUGAGAGGAUGAUCAGCCACACUGGAACUGAGACACGGUCCAGACUCCUACGGGAGGCAGCAGUGGGGAAUAUUGGACAAUGGGCGCAAGCCUGGUCCAGCCAUACCGCGUGGGUGAAGAAGGCCUUCGGGUUGUAAAGCCCUUUUGUUGGGAAAGAAAAGCAGCAGGUUAAUACCCCGCUGUUCUGACGGUACCCAAAGAAUAAGCACCGGCUAACUUCGUG